AACUUUCCUUUUUUGUUUCACUCAAUUUCGUUGAGUAUUGAAGAAGUUAUACUCAUUUGAAAAAUACCCAGUUUCCGGCGACCUCCGAGGCUUUCGAGGCAGUUUCCGGCCAAACCACGGCGAACUAGGUAUUGUGCAAGGUACCAUUCCUUUGUCUCUUCAAGGGCUACAACUGUUCGUUUUUGAAUCACUUGAUUCGUUGAGAAAUGACAAAGUUAUGGCAAUUUUGAAAAACUGCCCAGAAAACGGCCGCCGGAAAAACCAGUCCGGCGACCCAAGGAAGAAGAAGGUGCUACAGUAAAAAAAAAAUAAAAAUAAAAUUAUUUUAAAAAUAUGUCGACGUCCGUGACGUCGAGUAGAUCACUGUGGUAUAUUCAUAUACCUAAAUUGAAACACCGUAUGAGAAAGUUAUUGAAGAUUGUUGGUUAGGUGUUCAAAUAACGUUUUAUAGUUUUCACAUUUAGGUGAAAAUGUGAAUUGAUGAUCCGACCGUUGGAUCAUCACCAAAAUUUGAUACGUUAUAGUACGUAAUAUUUGAGGAUUAUUGGAACUUACGGAUUGGUAAUCCGAGUUACGGAUCUUCCGGAAUUGGAAUUGUAAGUCCAUAAUAUAAAAAUGUUAAACCGUCACUUAGUUUUGGAAAUUGACGGAGAUCCGACCGUUGGAUGGUAAUGAAAUUUUAGGAUGUUAUCCUAGAGAUAUAUUGUGGACCUCUGGAAGUUAUGGAUUUAAAAUCUGAGUGGCAGAUCUUCCGGAUCGAUCAACAUAGUGACGUAUUUAUAUAAGUUAUAUUCUAUCGAUAUGAAUUCUGAGGUUGGAAUUAAUUAUUGUUUUAGGCGCCGAUCGUCAUGACGCCUUGAUGUGUGGUGCUAGGGAGUUGUAGGGCGAACUCCAGGUGAGUGGGCAGUUUUGUUUUCCGUAUAUAUAUAUACUUGACGUUUCCCAGAAAUUGAAUUGAAAUGAAAAUAUGUUUUAAAAUGAAAUGCAUAUAUGAGUUAUGUGGAAAAACGGGAAGUGAAAUACCAUGCAUAGAAUUGAUAUGAAAAGUAUAUAGAAAUGUGAGUUGAAAUGCCAUGCAUGAAUUAAUAUAUGAUGCAUAUGUAUGAAUUGGUGCGGUGGACGCACAAGUAAGAAUUGAUUUAUGAUGCAUAUGUAUGAAUUGGUGCGGUGGACGCACAUGUAAGAAUUGAUUUAUGAUGCAUAUGUAUGAAAUGGUGCGGUGGACGCACAGAUGAGUAUUUAAUUACUGUUAUGAUGAUGAUGAUAUAUAUUGAGCUCAAAUCCUGCACCAUGGUUUAGUGCUUAUAGUAUUCACCGCAUCGCACGCUCGCCUUGGAUCCAAGUAGAUGCUAGUCGUACAGUCCACGCGGAGUGGGUACGACAGACCAGUCGCGAGAGUGUUAGUGAGAUUCCGACUGGUGGGUGACCUUAGAUUAUGUGCACAGAUGAUUUAUGAGAAGCACUAGAGCGUAACUUGUGUGCAGAAGGCCGGACGGGUCACAGAGGUGACUCCGGUAGAGUGAUAAUGAUAGAUUUUGAGCUCUAGGUUCAACCGUAUAGGGCUAUUAGAGGGCCUACGGUUGAUUACUUUCUUGCACCUGAUAUGAUUAUGUUGAUGCAUUCAUACCUUAUUACUGUUGAGAUGAUGUGGCAUGGCAAUAAUUAAUAUGAGAAAUGUUGAGAUGACAUGGCAUGGCAUGAUUGAUAAAGAGAUAAUGUUGAGAUAGUAAAAAUGAAGUUUUUGAGAAUAUAUAUGUAUAUUUAUAUUUUACAUUUCUGGGAAAGUAUAUACAGGUUUUACGGAGAGGGGUUACAACGUUUUGAGAAAUGUUUGGAUUUGGAAAAGAAUUGUUUUACUGACCCACUCAAUUUUGGUUUUGCGCCCCUCCAGGUUCAGGAAUCACAAAGGUGUGGUGACUACGAGGAAUUCGACGGUGUUCUGACAGAUUGGACAAAAUUAGGACUCACCUUCGGGUGUAUCAACUUAUAAAUUGUAUAAUUAAAGCUUCCGUACUGUGCAAAUGGUUACGUCACUCUCACGUGACGGCCAGCAUGCCCUCCUUCGGGACCGGGUGUGUCAGUUGGUAUCAGAGCAUGGUUGCAAUCUUGGACAUCUUGAGAAGUUUCUAGUGAAUUCUGUCAGAACUACACCGCCUCGUAGCAAACCACGUAGUUAGAGGAACUUAGUCUCCUUGAUUUAGCGGGUUAGGGGAAACUAUUCUUAUGGUGAUUCAGUAUAUUAGAAAAAUGGACAUUUUAAGACGGGUUAUGAGUUGAAUUUGAAUCACUUAAGAGAAAUGAUGAACCUGAGGGAACAAAGUGACGGAUUAACCAAUUGGAAAAGAUGUUUCGGAAUAUGCAAGUCAAAGGAAUCUUCCUUCUGACAAGGGGUCGAGACGACUACCUGGUUUUGGUUAUGAAUUUGUAUCCUGGUGGAAACAGGAGUAUGAAUUGUUGUCACCAGAGGAAUCAGUCGAUUGAGAAUUGUUUAAGGACUUGUUUAAAGGAAAAGUUUAUCCCUCCGGCAUUUAUCGAUGGUAGUAAACAAGAGUUUACAAAUAUGAGACAAGGAAGGUGAUGAUCGAGGGAUAUUAUAGAAAGUUUUCAGACUAGCCUCGUUCCAUCCAGAUAUUGUUGUUAAUUUGGUGGAGGUGUUAUGUUGUUUUAAGCUGGGUGACAAAAGGGAAGUGGUAUUUUGGGUGACCACUAUCCAUUGUAGUUCUUAUCAGGAGUAUGCUAGAUGUUGUUGAAUCUUGAGGACUCUGAGAACAUGAGCAACGAGAAUAAAGAAGAAUAAGAAAUGAAUGGGAAUUAAAAGAAGACGAUAAAGUUAAUGAUUCGUCAUAUCAAGGAUAUAGAAAGAUUCAGAGCUUCGAAAGAAGUGAAGCUAGAGUUAAUUCUUCCAGCUGAGGUUUAAUGUCGCUGGUCAGAAUAAAAGUGAUGGAUAUACUGGUAAUCCCAGAUAUUUGAGACAAGGUGUCUCGAGUAAAGGAAAUGUACCUUGUGCAGCAGGUACAAAAUUAACACUUUGGGAAAUGUGAAAUUAAUGAAUGUGUUUAUGUGAACAGAAGGGACACAGAGUUGUGAAUCGUCCCUAGAAUCAGUUGUACUCAACAAUUUUCCAUGAAAUCAUAGUGUCGAUUCAGCAGAGUUAUGGAUUUAGUAGUUUGGUCGGAUUGACCGUGAGUACAGAGAUAUUUGAUGAGUUAUAUGUUCAGCCGUACGGACCAUGAGAAAUGGAUUUGACUGACACAUGAGAAAUUGGUGAGUUAUAGGCUCGGCCGUGCCGACCACGCGGAGUGGAUCUGGCCGACGUAUUAUUGAGAUAAGAGUUGAAUCAACCGUAUUGGUUAUUCUAGUUGACUUCGGCUGAUAUAUUUCUUAUUAUGUAUGUUAUUACCUAGAGAGUAGUAAAUAAAUGUAGUUGAGACGAGUGUAUGUAUUUUGCAUUGAGUGACAAAAUAGUAAUGUUAUAUCUUUGUGAGUGGUUGCCUACUUAUCGAGACAACGAUGAUUUAUCAGUAUUGCGGGCUGCAGACCGUAAUAUUAAUAACUCAUUCGUGGAUUCGUUAAGCAAGCAAACCGGUAGAUUAUUUUAUGUUAGUAUUGUACUUAUUUGGAAUGCUUAAUAAUAAUAGAAUAUAUAUUGUAUCAGUUAAUUCUGUUCCAUUAGAUUGGUUGGUUAUAAUUGUGACAAGACGAAAUGUUAUGGGAAACCAGUACUUUCCAUCGAUCUGGAUGAACAGAGAUUACUUUUGUAAGUAUGCAAAAUGGAUUGAGUCAGGCUGUUAUUUAUGCUGUGAGAGCAAAGAGAUUGUUUUCGAAAGGCUGUCAAAAAUACUUAGCUCAUGUGGUGCUAAAUGAUGUUGUUUGGAGUAGUGUGAAUAAUGUCAAAAGAGUUCUUGCGGGCCCUGAGACUAUGGAUGAGUCUCCUCAAAGUAUUCAGGUGAUUAAGUUAACCUGAAGUAACCAGGAAUGGCAAAAGAGAUAAUGGCAAAAGAGAUAAUGGCAAAAGAGACUAACAGAUGGAUAUGCCACUAAUCGAGUGUGUAAGGGAAAUGGUUUGAUAUUUUUGGAAAUUUCACCACGAACAGAAAUGGCGAGAAUUGGAAAGGAGACAAGAUAAGAUUUAGACACAUCAGACCAUUUUUUAUCACUAAAGGAAUCAAUAAAGUUGCAUACAAGUGGUGAUGUCUUCAGAGUUGGCUAAGGUACUUAAUGUAUUUUGGGUUCGAUGCGUUGUCACUAGGUGGCAGAGUCGUUACAUGGGACCUUGGUGCAACUAUUGAGAAUUAAGCCGGAUCUGAUUGGUGAGGAACUAAUGUCGACUUUGGAUUGGAAAAAGAAGGUCCUAAGAAUUAAGACAGAGUAAGUAGUAAAAGCUUUGUGAAGGAAAUCAUUCAGUAGAAAAUUGUGUGGGAGAAAGAGAAUCGGAUGAGAGAGAUUUAUCCGAGGCUAUUGUAUGAGUAUAGAUGAUUUAGUUGGUUGCUGGAAUUUCGGGGACGAAAUUCUAUAAGGAGGGAAGAUUGUCACAGCCCGUUCCAAAAUAUUACAUUCGUGGCUGUGAAUGGACGAAAUUGCCCUUAUGAAAUACUAAGUAUGUGAAGCUCAAGUUGAUAAUUAUCUAGGUUCCUAAGUUUUGAAAAUAAAAUGGAAUUUAAUAAGGAUGAAACUUAGAUUUUUUAGGUUAAAAUUGUGUGGUUUGGAGUUGGGGAUUGGAAAAGGACCACAUGGGAUCCCCACACCCCUCAAUCCUCUCCCUAUUUUCUGCAUACUGUCUCUCUCUCUCCUCCCUCACGAAUCUCUCUCUCUCUCUGUCACUCUUCUUCUCCGUUCGAACAAACCAACCACAAAACAACCUUAAACUUCCACCAACGACGGAGUUAAGACCACCAUCAAACUCUUGGAACCUCCACGAUCACGAUGGUAUCCAUUUCAGGUAAGUUUUGCUUCGGAAAACCCUAGUUUUCAAAGUACCCGUGAAAUGGCACUGUUCAUAAACUCUUAAAUGGUGGUGUUUUAGCUUAAAACAAGAUCACAGUGAGCUUUAGGAUGUCCCAAGGAAGCUCGGAGUGCUUCGUUGGAAGUUUUCGGACGUAAGAACACGGAGAUCGACAAGUUCAAAGUUUGGCCGGAGCUUUCGAGGCGUUUUCCGGCGAAUCCCCGGCGAUUUAGGAGUCGAGGUAGGUAUUAAUCUCUUCGUCUCAUCAAGUACUACAACUUUCCUUUUUGUUUCACUCAAUUUCGUUGAGUAUUGAAGAAGUUAUACUCAUUUGAAAAAUACCCAGUUUCCGGCGACCUCCGAGGCUUUCGAGGCAGUUUCCGGCCAAACCACGGCGAACUAGGUAUUGUGCAAGGUACCAUUCUCUUUGUCUCUUCAAGGGCUACAACUUUCGUUUUUGAAUCACUUGAUUUCGUUGAGAAAUGACAAAGUUAUGGCAAUUUGAAAAACUGCCCAGAAAACGGCCGCCGGAAAAACCAGUCCGGCGACCCAAGGAAGAAGAAGGUGCUACAGUAAAAAAAAAUAAAAAUAAAAUUAUUUUAAAAAUAUGUCGACGUCCGUGACGUCGAGUAGAUCACUGUGGUAUAUUCAUAUACCUAAAUUGAACACCGUAUGAGAAAGUUAUUGAAGAUUGUUGGUUAGGUGUUCAAAUAACGUUUUAUAGUUUUCACAUUUAG
rnacentral:lncRNA from 1 species